AAAAAAAAAAAAAAAAAACCAAGUCAGGAGCCUUAGAGGAGCCAAAGAAGUUUAAAAACCACUGCAGAAGGGAGUACUUUGGAUUGAACCUAAGGCCUCAUAACGCAAAGCAGAUACUUUACCACUGAGCUAUACCACCAAACUGACUCAUUUACACCAUGGAAAAAUACAGAUGUGCUGGGGAGUAGAGACGAAACAAUUCUCUGAGGUAAUUAGACUCAGUCAUCUCAACCCUGUGAGGCGAACAGUUCCAUUGCUGCUUCGAGCUGAUUCAAGCCAGGACCCACACAGAUUAUUUGAAUGGCAGUUGACUUUGGAGUGCUUGCUUUGCUGAUGCUUCUCCACCCAAUGCCAUCUUCUGAUGUUUAUGUUUCAAUUCACUGGGUUAAUGAUGGCUGUCUGGACAGCAGCUGAUGAAGGUGACACUACCCGCUUUGCAAUGCUAUAAGGACUAACUUGUGGCAUAUCUAAAGGGUCUGGCUAAGUGUUUAACACAGCAGGUGGAAGUCAUUGAAAUAUCACAAGCAGGGGCCUGGGAGGUCUGCCUCUGAAAGACAGUCUGUCUCCUGUGGAACUCAGGAGGCUAUUCCGUGUCUCAGACAAGAAGUAACGAUAGCCUGUGGACCAAGGGUCUGGGAAAGAGAAGACUGGCAUCCAGGUAUGAGAUUGAAAGAAUAUAGUGACAACAUAGACACCGACUGAGGAAACACAGGCACCUACCUGAAUAACAGGAUGGAUGCCACUGCCCUAGGAUAGGUGUGUAAGGAAGGCAGGUCACGAAGCUGGGUGAUGGUGACUCAGAAGCUAUUCAUCUUUCUGCACCCUCUCAGUUAUAGGCUCUCAGGAUGUUGGUAAUUACAACAUCCUAAAAUACAGCAUUUUCUUUCCUAAAAUACAGCAUUUCCCCCUCCCCUCAUUAAAGGAAUUUUGUAAUGACCACAAUAAAAUGGUUGCACUCUUAAUGUCAUAUUUAAUAGUCAGAAAUAUUAAGGUGGAGCUUCAUGUUAUCACAGCAAUUGAUUUCAAUGCUACCUACGUAGAGUUACACAAAUUCCCACACAAGAGUGCUAUGAAAUCUCUGCCUUCUGUUUGAAAUUCCACACAGAUAAUCUUUCAGUCCUACACCCAAACCAUUGAAUCUUUCUCUUCUCAAACCAACUACAAGGACACCAGCCACUUUCCAGUUCUCUCAAGUGUUACUUAACUACCAACAGCAUUGCAGUACUCCAUAAAUGUGCACACGCAUGCGCGCACACACACACACCUGCAUGCACACACACGUCUGCAUACAAACACAAUCACACGCAUACUAGACACAGCCCAGAGCUUUGGGGUACUAAGUGGAUAUUCUGUCACUGUGCCCCCAGACCACACGACUUCCUUUUUAUAUUCUUAGUGCAUGCGUGUGUGUGUGUGUGUGUGUGUACAUACAGAAGAAGCCUCAGUUCUUUUCAUCUAUCAUGUGAGUCUCCGAGAUCCAACUCAAGUCACCAGUUGGACCAUCUCAUUAACUUGACUUAAAACAAAUGAACAAAGCCCCACAACUUUUAAAAACUUUGCUGCAAUCCCUAGCUAGCCAUUUCCCCUAAGGAGCUCUUUACAUUCCUUAGAACAUGCUAUAGUAAAGUGUGUGUCAUUUCACCUAGGGAGGCUGAGCCUGUAUCAGCAAUCCUCUAAAACUUUUUGAGAAUAGUGAGCCUCAAUAUAGAUUUAUUUGAGAAGGGGGAUUAGAGUGGCCUCAAGAUUUAGAGUGUUAUGCAGGGCAGGGAUAAGAGCCAAAUUUUUGAAAGUUCAAAUUCAGCUCCUGUUGGAAGUUGUUUGCUCGGCACUUCCUGUUUAUUCAGGUAAUAUUACAUCCCUCUGGAGUCGUUGAUGGACUUGAAGACCAGGUAGUUAGAGCUGAAGUUUUCCUCCGUUAUGUUAGAAGGCAAAUUAGGUACAGAGCUUUGGACUCACCAGGAUAGAAGAAAUAAUGGAGUAUUUUCUUCAAAUAAGCCAAAUACAAAUGGACUGGACAUUGUAAAAGUAAUUCUUACCUGAUAAUUAUUCUUAGUAUUUAUAGUUUUAUGUUAGGGUUAAAACCGUUCCUUUUUGUUUAGACAAAAGGGGGGAAAUGUUGCAGAAUAACCUUUUUGUAUAUUGUGAAUAUAUGUUACUCUGAUUGGUUUAAUAAAACGCUGAAUGACCAAUAGCUAGGCAGGAUUUGGGGGGCAGAGAGAAUGCUGGGAAGAAGAAGGCAGAGACAAGAGGAGAUGCAAAACAAGCAGCAUGGACAUUACAAAGUAAAGGUAAUAAAGCCACGAGGCAGAAAGUAAAUGAAUAGGAAUGGGUUAAGUUAUAAGAACUAGUUAGAAACAAGCCUAAGCUACCAGUCAAACUUUGAUAAUUAAUAAGUCUUCGUGUUGUGAUUUAUCCAUUAAAUAGUCAAUCUGUGUUUUCUGCUCCCUCCUAUUUUCCCUUUGCCAGAGAUCUGUAGAAGGAGAGAUUUAGGUUGGUGAAACUGCUGGAGGGAAGCACAGCUGAAGGCCACAUUCUCAAAAGUAAGCUUUUCUCCGCCUCAGCCUUAUGUCAAUGUCAUUUCCAUCUUUUGCCCUGAGUGACAGCAUCCUACCUCUGUGAAGUUCCUGGCCCCACAAUUUCUCCAACAGUGAUGAAGUUCAUUCAACUGCAUAAAUGUGUCUCAUUUGUGCCAAUAUGUGCUUAGUACUGGUGCAGAAACAACGAAUGUGCAGAAUCAUGUUCCUUCAUUGAGGUGAAGCAAGAUUUCAUUUGGAGAUGAAAACUCUGAAUGCCAGAAAGAAUGCGGAUUACAGCAGUAAGAGCAGGUAUGGGGCACAAACUAUAAGGCUAUGUACUUGUCACCUUGGGAACCUUCUGAUGGGUGGCCCACCUAUACAGAGACCUGAGGGAAAGCAGUGUUACCUGCCUGCCUCUGCUUCUUGCUGCUAUGUUCAUGUGUUCCUGCUGUUGCCAUCAAACUCCAGAUUUUUCAGUCUUCCAACAUGGACUGAAGAGGAAUGACUCUUCGUGGAUUUUCUAGGACUUCAGCAUCAGCAUGAGACUGUUAGAGGAUUCAGCUUUAUAGACUGAACAGCUACGAGGUUCUCUGCUGCUAGUAUGAAGAUGGCCAUUGUUGCAUUAUCCAGUGCGGUGGUUUGAAUGUAAUUGACCCCAUAAGCUCAUAGGAAAUGACGCUAUUAGGAGAUGUGGCUUUGUUGAAGUAGGUAUGGCCUUGUUGGAGGAAGUGUGGGUAGGCUUCAAGGUCUCAAAAAUGCUCACACAACAUCCAGUGCUUCAGUUCACUUCCUGUUGCCUUCUGAUCAAGAUGUAGCCAGCAAUCCAUGUCUUCCUGCAUGCUACUGUGCUUCCUGCCAUGAUGAUA